rnacentral:tRNA from 3 species
GGAGGUGUGCCCGGUCUGGUGACCGGCGCGGUCUUCAAAACCGUCGAGCGGCAGACGCUGCCGUUGGCGGGUUCGAUUCCCGUCCGCCUCCGCCA